rnacentral:rRNA from 1 species
GACGCACUCUCAGAGUUUUGAUCCUGGCUCAGGACGAACGCUGGCGGCGUGCUUAACACAUGCAAGUCGAACGAGAAAUUAGCGAGUAGAAGAUUCGUCUGAAGCAAGCUAAUGGAAAGUGGCGGACGGGUGAGUAACGCGUGAGCAACCUGCCUUACACAAGGGGAUAGCCUCGGGAAACCGUGAUUAAUACCCUAUAAAAUAACAACUUCGCAUGAAGAUGUUAUCAAAGAAAAUCGGUGUAAGAUGGGCUCGCGUCUGAUUAGCUAGUUGGUGAGAUAAAAGCCCACCAAGGCAACGAUCAGUAGCCGGCUUGAGAGAGUGAACGGCCACACUGGAACUGAGACACGGUCCAG